rnacentral:tRNA from 1 species
GGAGAGAUGGCUGAGUGGUCGAAAGCGCCCGCCUCGAAAGCGGGUAGGGGUGUUGAGCCCCUCGCGAGUUCAAAUCUCGCUCUCUCCGCCA